GAUGAACGCUGGCGGCGUGCCUAAUACAUGCAAGUCGAGCGAACGGACGAGAAGCUUGCUUCUCUGAUGUUAGCGGCGGACGGGUGAGUAACACGUGGAUAACCUACCUAUAAGACUGGGAUAACUUCGGGAAACCGGAGCUAAUACCGGAUAAUAUUUUGAACCGCAUGGUUCAAAAGUGAAAAACGGUCUUGCUGUCACUUAUAGAUGGAUCCGCGCUGCAUUAGCUAGUUGGUAAGGUAACGGCUUACCAAGGCAACGAUGCAUAGCCGACCUGAGAGGGUGAUCGGCCACACUGGAACUGAGACACGGUCCAGACUCCUACGGGAGGCAGCAGUAGGGAAUCUUCCGCAAUGGGCGCAAGCCUGACGGAGCCACGCCGCGUGAGCGAUGAAGGUCUUCGGAUCGUAAAACUCUGUUAUUAGGGAAGAACAUAUGUGUAAGUAACUGUGCACAUCUUGACGGUACCUAAUCAGAAAGCCACGGCUAACUACGUG
rnacentral:rRNA from 1 species